AAUCAGGAGGCCCGGUUGUUUCAACUUCAUCACGUGGUAUCGCCUCUCCGAGUCGGCACUUCCGCAAAUGCGAUUGACGACGAUAUUCUGGAUCUGCAGUAAUUGCAGCAGUCGGCGAACCUUCAAGUGCUCUUGUUGCAAUUUUGCAGAGAUGAAGAGGAGGGCCGGCCCCAGCCAAAGCAGUCCUUCCUGCCACCGAGGCCUGCCUCGCAAAGUUCUGAGCUGCUGAUUCCUGAGUUGCCGUGCGGCCUUCUCGAGGGAACAGCGGGAGCGGAUUGGUCGGGCGCUGUAUGUAUUGUAUGAGAAAUGUACUGGAUCAAUAAACAUGCACAGGUG